AAAUCAGUUAUCGUUUAUUUGAUAGUACCUUACUACUUGGAUACCUGUGGUAAUUCUAGAGCUAAUACAUGCUAAAAACCCCGACUUCGGAAGGGGUGUAUUUAUUAGAUAAAAAACCAAUGCCCUUCGGGGCUCCUUGGUGAUUCAUAAUAACUUCUCAGAUCGCAUGGCCUUGCGCCGGCGACGGUUCAUUCAAAUUUCUGCCCUAUCAACUUUCGAUGGUAAGGUAUUGGCUUACCAUGGUUUCUACGGGUAACGGGGAAUUAGGGUUCGAUUCCGGAGAGUUAGCCUGAGAAACGGCUAACACAUCCAAGGAAGGCAGCAGGCGCGCAAAUUACCCAAUCCUGAUACAGGGAGGUAGUGACAAUAAAUACUGAUACAGGGCUCUUUUGGGUCUUGUAAUCGGAAUGAGUACAAUUUAAACCUCUUAACGAGGAACAAUUGGAGGGCAAGUCUGGUGCCAGCAGCCGCGGUAAUUCCAGCUCCAAUAGCGUAUAUUAAAGUUGUUGCAGUUAAAAAGCUCGUAGUUGAACCUUUGGCCUGGCUGGUAGGUCCGCCUCACCGCGUGCACUUGUCCGGCCGGGCCUUUUCUUCUGGAGAACCGCAUGCCCUUCACUGGGUGUGUUGGGGACCAGGACUUUUACUUUGAAAAAAUUAGAGUGUUCAAAGCAGGCCUUUGCUCGAAUAUUACAGCAUGGAAUAAUAAAAUAGGACGUGCGGUUCUAUUUUGUUGGUUUCUAGGACCGCCGUAAUGAUUAAUAGGGACAGUCGGGGGCAUCAGUAUUCAAUUGUCAGAGGUGAAAUUCUUGGAUUUAUUGAAGACUAACUACUGC
rnacentral:rRNA from 1 species